UGUAGCUCAGUGGUAGAGCACAUGCUUAACAUGCUUAAGGUCUUGAGUUCAAUCCUCACCA
rnacentral:tRNA from 1 species